CAGCAGCCACGGGAAUACGGAGGGUGCAAGCGUUAAUCGGAAUUACUGGGCGUAAAGCGCACGCAGGCGGUCUGUCAAGUCAGAUGUGAAAUCCCCGGGCUUAACCUGGGAACUGCACUUGAAACUGGCAGGCUAGAGUCUUGUAGAGGGGGGUAGAAUUCCAGGUGUAGCGGUGAAAUGCGUAGAGAUCUGGAGGAAUACCGGUGGCGAAGGCGGCCCCCUGGACAAAGACUGACGCUCAGGUGCGAAAGCGUGGGGAGCAAACAGGAUUAGAUACCCGAGUAGUCCCUGUCUCUUAUAA
rnacentral:rRNA from 1 species